CCCUUAGAUGUUCUGGGCUGCACGCGUGUUACAAUCGGGAGUACAACAAGAUUGCAAAUCCUAGUGGAUGAGUGGUUCUUCGAAAUUUUCUGAAGACUGGGAUAGUUGAUUGAAAUUAUUCAACUCAAACGAGGAAUUCCUUGUAAUUGUAAUUCAUUAUAUUGUAAUGAAUACGUCCCUGCCCUUUGUACACACCGCCCGUCGCCCCUACCGAUUGAACGAUCCGGUGAAUUAUUUGGAGUAGCUCUGGAAGUUGCAGAACUUCCUAUGUCACGAAAUUUUGUAAACCUUAUCGUUUAGAGGAAGGAAAAGUCGUAACA
rnacentral:rRNA from 1 species